AGUUUAAAGUAAUCUUUUUAAAUGUAUCCUGCCCAGUGUUUUUUUAUAAAUGGCCGCAGUACCCUGACUGUGCAAAGGUAGCAUAAUCAAUUGGCUUUUAAUUAAAGUCUGGAAUGAAAGGAAUUAUGAAAAAAAACUGUCUUAAAAAUAUUUUAUUUAAUUUAUUUAUUAGGUGAAAAUACCUAUUUUAAGAAAAAAGACGAGAAGACCCUUAGAAUUUUUAUAAUAUAUUUUAAAUAUUUAUUUUAGUUGGGGCGACUUUUAAGCAAUUAAACCUUAAAUAUUUUUAAAACGAAAUUGUUAUAAUAGAUUAAAUUACCUUAGGGAUAACAGCAUUAUUUAUAAAAGUUUGUGACCUCGAUGUUGGACUAGGAACUUUAUGGCUAGCAGUCUAAAAAGAUUUGUUCUGUUCGAACAAUUAAAUCCU
rnacentral:rRNA from 1 species